GAAUGAGUAUAUUAUGACAAAUACUAGAAGAACUACGAAAGAGAAGCACAAACUGCCAAAUUACAGAACCGAUGCCUGCUCCAUCCUGUAGCGGAACCACUAGCUCUAUACUUUAGGACUUGAAAUGGGGCUCAUCUGAACUGAGAUGAUCUGUACAUAUUGGAAAUGCAUCCUCAUGUUAAGACUUUGGGUACCAUCUUUGUGUGACAAUCUUACCAAAGGACUCUCUUGCUCAGCACUCAAGAAGAUCUGGUGGGAGCUGCAGACUGGAAACUAGGCACCUCAGUCCAACCUCUUGCAAGUACAGACUCACCUCCUUGCCUGAUUUCUCUACCAAUGUCCAUGAGCUUCUCAUUUCAAGACUGCUGAGCAAAGUUCAGACUCACAUGAAUCACCUGUAGGCUGACAACAGAGAAGCCCCGG